rnacentral:tRNA from 1 species
GGGUGGAGGCUCAGUGUUUAAGAGCACUGGCUAGUGUUCCAGUGGUCCUGGGUUCAAUUUCCAGCACCCA